rnacentral:rRNA from 1 species
GAUGAACGCUGACGGCAUGCCUAAUACAUGCAAGUCGAACGAGAGGAAGGAAAGCUUGCUUUUCUGAAUCUAGUGGCGAACGGGUGAGUAACACGUAGGUAACCUGCCCAUGUGCCCGGGAUAACUUCUGGAAACGGAUGCUAAAACCGGAUAGGUAGCAGACAAGCAUUUGACUGCUACUAAAGUGGCUAAGGCCAUGAACAUGGAUGGACCUGCGGUGCAUUAGCUAGUUGGUGAGGUAACGGCCCACCAAGGCGACGAUGCAUAGCCGGCCUGAGAGGGCGGACGGCCACAUUGGGACUGAGACACGGCCCAAACUCCUACGGGAGGCAGCAGUAGGGAAUUUUCGUCAAUGGGGGGAACCCUGAACGAGCAAUGCCGCGUGAGUGAGGAAGGUCUUCGGAUCGUAAAGCUCUGUUGUAAGAGAAAAACGACAUUCAUAGGGAAUGAUGAGUGAGUGAUGGUAUCUUACCAGAAAGUCACGGCUAACUACGUGCCAGCCGCCGCAGUAA